AAACCAUAAUCGAUUUUCCAACAGAUUUUGUUCCGUGAGUGCUCUGGUGCCACAACCGACUGCAAUUCCCAGCAUCCCAGAGUAUGGAGCCCUGGCAGUUUAAAGUGGUGCCAACCUGGAGUAUUUCUGCAGUGAGGAUGCAGCCUCUGCCUGGCCAGGAUGCUAAGCCAUGAAGCUGCAAUGCAUACCUGCCCUGGGCUGCAGGUACGCCUCCAUCUGUUCCACGUAAAUACAACCCAUAAUUGAAUCCGUAGCCUGGAAGGGUAUAGCAGCUUCUACGGGGCUUCCCAACUUCAGGCUGCAAGAAGAGUUCCUUUUUCCUGCCAGAGAUGGAAGAAAGUGCAUAGGACAAACCUCCUUCUUCCAGCAACUUCAAGGAGGAGGACUCCCAUUCGAGAAUCACCAUGGGCUUCUUUUUUAAGCAUCAGGGAAAGGGAGCGAAAAGGAGAAGAAUUAGAAAGAAAAGGGGUGUCGUUGCCACGGACGGGGGGAGGAAGAGAAGAACGAGAGAAAAGAACGUGCGGGGGAAGGAGGGAGGAAAAAACGGAAUAAAUUAUCUGACAAAAGAUUUGACAGGGUAUGCAGUUCAGCUGAAGCAAGCCUGUGAAGUGGACACAUGGCACCUCCAGCCACAGAAGCUGACAAAAUAGGAUAGUAGGUGUCAGUCCCACAACCUGAUUGCUGUUUUUUACCCUAUGAUGCGAGAGAGGUCCUCCCAGUCGAUGUCAUCUGUAUCCUCAACAUCUAGUUCAUACAGCCUGAAAUAGAGAAACACCUCUGUUCAUUCAUUUAUGCACACACAUAAAAUUCAGACAACCACUGGAAAGAAUGAUUGAUUCUCGGCUUUCCAGCCCCAUCCAUUUGCUGCUUUAUCUUGGGUUUCAGAUGAAAAGCCCUUGUGUAUUUAUCCACCAUACAGCAGCAGUGUAACUGAUGUUCUCCCCAAGUUGAGCAAUCUGCCUUUCUUAUAGUUUGAAAAGGCCAGACUAUUUUGCCCACCAGUGCACAGUCUUUCUGAUUCCCCAAAGAAAUCUGUCUAGAUAUAGCGAACCCAUUAUUUAGAGAACUCUGCAGCAUGUACCUCCAGAUUAUUUCUUUUUAAAAACACCUUUCUGUGUGCUUGAAGCCUUCAAUAUCAACAUCAAAUGGGUAGCGCACUUUCCUAACCACUGCAUAAGUUUGCAGUUGACAGAGUUAGAAGCAAAAGGAAAUUUGACAGAGUUAUAGGGCAGACCCAGUGCUAUGGGGCUGGCACAAUGAUGGGCAUGCCUAGGGGAAGCACAGUGGCUCCAACCUCAACAGAUCCAUACCUUUGCAUAGAAGUUGUGGCAUAUUGAACUCAGGGAUAUUCCAGAUUUUGUAAAGCUGAGUUCUUUUCAUCCAUGAAUUAUACAAAGAAAGAUAGAAUAGAAUUCACCCCACCCCCAUUAUCACCUUUUGCAUGUAAGCUUCUUUUCAAGAAUAGAUUGAAAUGUGAUACAUAUGCCUUUAAGGUUUGUAAAAACCUGUCACCACCAGAGAUCUCAAUGUGGUGCUGUGCUGGGUUGGGGGGAGGGAUCUGGGUAAAGGACUGUCUCUAUGGAAGGCAGAGGAGACCUCAGUACUGAGCAGAACAAUAAAACUUGUCUUGGAAAGACAGAUUUAGACACACAAGGGAGUCCAGGUAUUUGUCUAUCUUUAGAUCUACGAGAUGCUUGUUACAUAUCACUUAUCUUCCAUUUGGGUGAUGGAAGAGAAAAGCCCUAGGGGUGGACGAUUCAGUUCAUAUCAUGCCCAUUAAAAGAUAGGUCAAGCCUGAGGAUGAUAUUAGUUCAGUUAAUUCAGGAGUCAUACAUAGAAUCAUAGAACCUUAGAGUUGGAAGGAAGUGCCAAGGGCAAUCUGGUUCAACUCCCUGACAUGCAGGAAUACACUACUAUAGCACUCCCAAGAAAUGGCCAUUCAGCUUCUGUUCAAAAACCUCCAAAGAAGAGUCUCCCUGUCCCCCAAGUCCACUUCUGAACAGCUCUGGCAGUCAUGAAAAUGUUUAGGUGGAUCACUUUUUUUUUUGUAAUGUGAAUCCAUUAGUUCAUGUCCUAAUCAUUGGAACACGACUAAAUAAACUCACUUAAUCUUCUACAUGACAUCCCUUUAGAUGUUUACAGAGGGCUAUCACAUCAACUUUCAAUGAGACUUGAGAUUAUUACUGAUUAUAAGCUGAACAUGAGUCAGCAGUGUGAUGCUGCAGCAAAGAAGGCAAAUACUAUUUUAGCCUGCAUAAACAGAACCAUAGUUUCCAAGUGAAGGGAAGCAACAAUCCCACUAUAUUCUCUGUUGGUCAGGCCUCAUUUAGCCUAUUGUGUUCAGUUUUGGGCAGCCAAUUUUAAAAAGGGUAUAGAAAAGAUGGAUUAACUUUAGGGAAGAGCUGAGAAGAUAAGAGGUAUGGAGAAAAAACAUAUGAGGGAAGGUUGAAAGACCUGGGCAUGUUCUCUUUGGUGAAGAGAAGACUGAGGGGCGACAUGAUUGCCCUCUUUAAAUACAUCAAGGGCUGUCACAGGGAGGAGAGGGCAGGUCUGUUCUCUGCAGCCCCAAAGGGUCAAUGGUUUGAAAUUACAGGAGGGUGGAUUUCACUUGAAUUUGAGAAGGAACAUCUUGACACUAAGCCUGGUUUAGCAAUGUAAUCAAUGACCUAGAUAGGUGGUGUGGGUCUCUUUCUCUGGAUGUCUUUAAGAAAAGUUUGCAAUGUUACCUGCUAGAGGUGAUCUAGUUUGUUCCUCCACUGUGUGUGGAGUUAGACUCUAUGUCCCAUGGAGCCCAUUCUAGAGUUGGAAGGGGCUCUCUCUAGGCCCUUGAGUCUAUGGUUCUUUUCUCCAAGCUAAGCAUAUACAGCUCCUCAAAUCCAUCUUGAUAAAUCUUUGUUUCUGGACCACUGAUCAUCUUGGUCACCCUCCUAUGGACACAUUGCAGCUUGUCAAUAUCCUUUUUGAAUGGUGGUGUCCAGAAUUGGAUGAGGUUACAUUGCACUCUUGACUCAUGUUUAGCCUGUGGUGUAUUAAGAUUACAGAUCCUUUCCAUAUGUACUGCUCUCAAGCCAGGUACCACCCAGCGUAUAUUUGUGGACUUCAUUUUUCCUGCUCAUUAACACAGGACUACAGAUCCAAAAGGUUUCAGAGUAAAACAGAAAUGCUCCUUUGUGCUAGCUACUCACAGCAUGUUCUAGAAGUUUAAUAAGGAAGAGGAAAAAAGGUUAUAGCCCUGACUCAUACCUUUCAAUGACAUCGAUUUUGAACUUCAGGUUUUCAAGGCCACGAUUCCUCGUCUUCCCUCGGGACAUCUUCUUGGUCACAAUGGACAUCCUUUAAAAACAGAAAGGGAAGGGGAGAAUUUGGCUUUUGGUUUAACUGUUCAUUAACUUCCUUACAUUACUGUGAUAUGCUAGGCUGGUUUGUGUUGAGUAAGUUAUUCACAGGGGAACACAAAGCUGUCUUGUCCCAGGUGCAGUGAAUAUGAUGUGGGAUUGAACAGGAGGGAAGAGACAGAAUGGAGUCAGUGUAACUGAUUAGUAAAGAGACAGAAGAAAAUACAAGGAACCGGGUAAUCAGGAGGGUUGAGUAACUGGAAAGAAGGAAGGACAGGGAACAAGUGGCUGAGAGCAAAAUAGUGGAAGUAUUAUGUAUGCAUAUGUGUGUGAGAGAGAGAGCAGGACAGGAGGAU